rnacentral:rRNA from 1 species
UGGGGAAUAUUGCACAAUGGGCGAAAGCCUGAUGCAGCAACGCCGCGUGAGUGAUGAAGGCCUUCGGGUUGUAAAGCUCUGUCUUCUGGGACGAUAAUGACGGUACCAGAGGAGGAAGCCACGGCUAACUACGUGCCAGCAGCCGCGGUAAUACGUAGGUGGCAAGCGUUGUCCGGAUUUACUGGGCGUAAAGGAUGCGUAGGCGGAUACUUAAGUCAGAUGUGAAAAUCCCGGGCUUAACUUGGGAACUGCAUUUGAAACUGGGUAUCUAGAGUGCGGGAGAGGAAAGUGGAAUUCCUAGUGUAGCGGUGAAAUGCGUAGAGAUUAGGAAGAACACCAGUGGCGAAGGCGACUUUCUGGACCGUAACUGACGCUGAGGCAUGAAAGCGUAGGGAGCAAACA